rnacentral:rRNA from 1 species
CCUGGCUUAGGACGAACGCUGGCGGCGUGCCUAAUACAUGCAAGUCGAACGGUCUUUCUAUGGAAGCUUGCUUCCACUGAGAAGAUAGUGGCGAACGGGUGAGUAACACGUGGGUAACCUGCCCAUAAGAGGGGGAUAACAUCCGGAAACGGGUGCUAAUACCGCAUAGUUUUCUUGAUCGCAUGAUCGGGAAAGGAAAGACGGCCUUUGUGCUGUCGCUUAUGGAUGGACCCGCGGCGUAUUAGUUAGUUGGUGAGGUAACGGCUCACCAAGACGAUGAUACGUAGCCGACCUGAGAGGGUGAUCGGCCACAUUGGGACUGAGACACGGCCCAAACUCCUACGGGAGGCAGCAGUAGGGAAUCUUCCGCAAUGGACGAAAGUCUGACGGAGCAACGCCGCGUGAGUGAAGAAGGUUUUUUCGGAUCGUAAAACUCUGUUGUCAGAGAAGAACAAGUUGGAGAGUAACUGCUCCAGCCUUGACGGUAUCUGACCAGAAAGCCACGGCUAACUACGUGCCAGCAGCUGC